UUCACAGUAUGAUGAGGCCAUGGACUCUGCAAAAAUGAAAUACAAAUACCAUUCUAUGAUCCUGGCUAUUAGAAUUGAAGACCACCCUCUGUCUAUGCACAGUCCUGAUUUAAGAAGCCUACGUGAGACCUGACUUAUUCUUCACUCAGGACGGGGUCUGAGCCACUGAGUGAAAACAAGCAAAAAUCAAGCAAACGACAAACUCAAUGAACUUCACAAUUUUCCUCUAUUAGAAGAGAUCUGAUUUCUUUCUCUGGGCAAUUUAAGUGUUUCAGUUAAUUCUGACUAUGAAGAAAAGUUUGUAUGUUUCACCUUUAUAUUACAUACAUGAAUUCAA